ACUCCCCCCACCACCCCCAGCAAACAUGUAACUGGUACUAGAUAUCUUGAAUAAACAUUUCACUUUGCUUGCCAUACUUUUUGGAACUUUUUCACUUCCUGUAUCAUUUCACCUCAGCAGCGCCUUCUGGGCAGGAAGGUGAUGUCAGACCCCCCCUCAAAGUCUUUGCUUCCAGUUUCCCUCCACAAGGGCUGCUGAAAGGCAGAGAUGCGCUGGGUUGACAGGUUAAUUGAAGAAUAAUGCCCUUCACAAUGAUGGAUUUUGGUGACUCAAGAUGUCAAAAUCUAUUUGAAGAAAUUCAAAUCUUCAAUUAAAAUGGCGGGCGGGGUUGCAAGACUGAGGGAAAUCCCAAGACUAUCCUUCCUUCAUUGAGAACAGAGGGAUUGUUUGGGAAGCUCAGAGAGAGAGAGAGAGAGAGAGAGAGAGAGAGAGAGAGCUGCUUUCAGCCAUUCACUUGUACUUAAAGAGCACAUUUACUUUCCAUUGAUUUCCAAUGUUUUAGUCAAUUUCCUGUCACUUUUCAUUGUGACUACAUGGGAUCUCAGUUUAGCUACUUACAGGAAAACAGAGAAACUUCAGAGAAAAGUCCUGGAAGUGUGUUGCUGUGUCUCACGGUGCUCUGUAGAAUCUCUCCAGUAAUACCACCAGGACAGCCAAGGAAAACAUCACUGAUAUGACUGAGCCACCUGAGGCUGGACAGCACUUCUGCAGUACUAACAUUUCUAUCUAUUCUGAACUUGCAUUACUAUAAACUAAACUAACAAACUGCAGCAUGAUAAUAGAUCUAUUUUGUAAUUUAUAUUGUAAUGACUUAAGCGUUAAUAAUAACAAUUCUAUAACACUUCUAACUGUAUUUAUGUACUAUAUGCUAUAAGUUUCACAUUCUGCUAUCUGCCUACUGGUUUCCUGUGCAGACUUUAGUGUUACAGGCUUUAAAAUGGGGCUGUACAAUUGGCAGAGGAUCUACAAUACAUUUAGAUGAUAAGACACAGUAGUUGCUUCAGUUCUGAAAUUAGAUUAGCUAUAUGAGUGGAUCCCCUGAAUGAACAUGGUUAUGACACAAUUUAGAUACAGGGGUAAAUCCCUUCUUCUUUUCUCCUCUGCUUCUCUCUCCCAGAUCUCCUUUGCCAAUCCCCUGCCCUAAUAUUAUCAAUCAUAAACUAGUUAACUUUAGAGGACCAGCAUGGUAUUUAUCUUGCUCUUAAUUGUAUUAUUACUUGUACUGUGAUACUUGAAAUGUAUUUGCUUACGAUUGUAAGUCGCCCUGGAUAAGGGCGUCUGCUAAGAAAUAAAUAA